GACGAACGCUGGCGGCGUGCUUAAUACAUGCAAGUCAACUGAACUUAAGAUAGCAAUAUUUUAAGGGAGGUGGCGCACGGGUGAGUAACACGUAGGUAAUCUGCCUUUAGGUCUGACAUAAUUCCGCGAAAGCGGGACUAAUUUCAGAUGAUGCAGCGGCUCGACAUCGAGACAGUUGUUAAAUCUUCGGAGCCUAAAGAUGAGCCUGCGUCUGAUUAGGUAGUUGGCGGAGUAAUAGCCCACCAAGCCAUCGAUCAGUAGCUGGUCUGAGAGGAUGAUCAGCCACACUGGAACUGAGACACGGUCCAGACUCCUACGGGAGGCAGCAGUAAGGAAUAUUGCUCAAUGGCCGAAAGGCUGAAGCAGCAACGCCGCGUGGAGGAUGAAAU
rnacentral:rRNA from 1 species